UACGAAGGGGGCUAGCGUUGUUCGGAAUUACUGGGCGUAAAGCGCACGUAGGCGGGUUGUUAAGUCAGGGGUGAAAUCCCGGAGCUCAACUCCGGAACUGCCUUUGAUACUGGCAAUCUAGAGUUCGGAAGAGGUGAGUGGAAUUCCCAGUGUAGAGGUGAAAUUCGUAGAUAUUGGGAAGAACACCAGUGGCGAAGGCGGCUCACUGGUCCGAUACUGACGCUGAGGUGCGAAAGCGUGGGGAGCAAACAGG
rnacentral:rRNA from 1 species